GAUGAACGCUGGCGGCGUGCCUAAUACAUGCAAGUCGAGCGAACGGACGAGAAGCUUGCUUCUCUGAUGUUAGCGGCGGACGGGUGAGUAACACGUGGAUAACCUACCUAUAAGACUGGGAUAACUUCGGGAAACCGGAGCUAAUCCCGGAUAAUAUUUUGAACCGCAUGGUUCAAAAGUGAAAGACGGUCUUGCUGUCACUUAUAGAUGGAUCCGCGCUGCAUUAGCUAGUUGGUAAGGUAACGGCUUACCAAGGCAACGAUGCAUAGCCGACCUGAGAGGGUGAUCGGCCACACGGGAGCGGAGACACGGUCCAGACUCCUACGGGAGGCAGCAGUAGGGAAUCUGCCGCAAUGGGGGAAAACCUUACGGAGCAACGCCGCGUGAGUGAUGAAGGUCUUCGGAGCGUAAAACUCUGUUAUUAGGGAAGAACAGAUGUGUAAGUAACUGUGCACAUCUUGACGGUACCUAAUCAGAAAGCCACGGCUAACUACGUG
rnacentral:rRNA from 1 species